GUCUACGGCCAUACCACCCUGAACAUACCUGACCUCAUCUGAUCUCAGAAGCUAAGCAGAGUCAGGCCUGGUUAGAUCCAGAUGGGAGACCAAAGGGUAAGAGUGGUUAUUUAAAUG
rnacentral:rRNA from 1 species